rnacentral:tRNA from 1 species
UCCCUGGUAGCCUAAUGGUUAAGGAUUUGGCAUUGUCACUGCUGUGAUUCAGGUUUGAUCCCUGGCUGGGGAA